GCAGAGGGAUUCCAGCCGCCCCAUCUUCAAAGCCUCUCCCUCUGUCGCUUCCUCCCGCGCAGAGCAGCUCUCCUGGACAGGGACAGCAGAUGGGACACCUGGCAAGCAAAGGGAACACUGAGUCAGGAUCGGGACGUUUCCCUUGGCGGCACCUGCACUUCCAUCAGGGAAGAGAAAUCUCAGAGCCUCCCCAGGAGGCUUAGAAAGAAAAAGCAGGCCCAGCGGGCCAGGCUGUGGCGAGCGCAGCCCCGGCGGGACCGUCCCGCAGCCCCCGGCAGCGCGGCACAGCCGGCACCGCUGCCGGGCCCUGCCGGCACAGCUGCCUUGCCCAAGGACAGCCCCUGUGCCGCCCGGGGCAGCCGCGCUGAGCGGCCCCAGCACGGGCAGGGCCCGCUCCUGCCCAGCCGGCCAGUGCCCGCGGCCAAAGCCCACGCCAGCCUCACGCCCACCCUGCCUCAGCGGCCCUGGGGCCUCACCCAGGGUCUCGGGCGGCAGCAGCAGGUCCCCGUUCGCUGCUCUUGCUGGCGGCCUUCAGCUUCUCCCUGCUGGCUCCUGUCACUCUCCGGCUCUUCUCAAGGACUUCAGCUUCUCCCUGCUGGCUCCCGUCACUCUCCGGCUCUUCUCAAGGACUUCAGGGCAGCUGUGGCAAAAGCGGAGGCUCUGGAAUUGGUUCCAAGGGCUGGCAGAGCCGCAGGCCCGGACCCCACUGUGCUCCCUGCUGGCUCCCUCCAUCCCCUCAGCAAACCCCCAGUCCUGCCAGUUCUUCAAAGUUUUCUCACCCCCCCUCACUCCCUUCAGAUCCAUCGAGUCCCCUUAGACCUGCCACCCCCCUCAGCCUGUGCCUCUUCCCUCGCGGGACUUCUACCCCUCAGUCCAACCAUUCAUUCCCCAAUUUUCCCGGUUCCCUCAGCCCCACUGUUCCCCUCAGCUCCCUCUAGAGCCCUCGGUUCCUGCCACCCUGCUCAGUCCUCCCAGUUCCCUCAGUCCUAACACCCCCCUUAGCCUGUGGGGACACUUCCCUGUCCCCUCAGUCCCCACCAUCCCCAGCAGCUCCUCCACACCUCUCUGCUCCACCAUUCCCUUCAGCUCUCCCAGUCUCUUCAAUCCCCACCAUUCCCCUCUGCUUCCCCACCAUCCCCACAGCCCCACCAGCACCUCAAAGUCACCGUCCCUUCAGUGUCACCUCUCCCCAGCCCCCUCUGUCUCACCGUCCUCCAGCAGCUCCUCAGGGCACAGGGCCUGCGGCCACCGGCAGCUCCCAUCGCUCCAGGGACACCGGGGCUGCAGCUGCUGCUCCGCCCGGCCCGGCCGCCAGCUCGGAGCCAGCACAGGAAGAGGGGACAGAGGGGGCACAGGGGCAAAAGCAAGAGGUGAGAGACGAAGCAGAGUAGAGAAAGAGCUUAAAAAGCAGCCUGUAUUUAUUCAAAUAUCUAUCAAUCUAUCUAAAGCUCCAUAUACCUAUAGCUAUAUAAAUAUAACUGUGCCCAUUUAUAACUAUACAUAUAUAAAUGUAACUUCACAUCUUUAAAUGCAACUACAUAUAUAAAAAAUAACUUUAUACAUCUACAACUACAAAUAUAUAUUUAACUACUCAGAUCUGUAACUACAACUAUCUAGACAUUUAAGUUCAACUACAUAAAUCAGGGGAUUGCACCUGCCUAAUGAUCACAGGCUCUCUCUCUGUCUCUUCCUCCCAUGCAGGACAGCCCUCUUGGAGAGGUCGAUCAGAUGGAAUCUGGGAAGCAAAGGCAACACUGAGUCAAUACCGGCCCUCAUGCGCAUUUCCCUUGGGCAGCAAUUGUCCUUCUAUCAGGGACUGUAAAAGAUGGCCUGAAAGGGCCAUCACUUGGGAAUUCACUUGGAAAUUUGAAGGUUGCUCUUUAAAGAACAGGGAUCCUUUCAAGUUUUCAAAACCUCCAAAGGUUUGAAGUGUCCCAAUAGAGUCUCAGCACCCACAGUGCAAAUGGCACCCACGAGAGCCUGAAGCACAGACAGUCCCAGCUCCCACACAGAAGCCCAGCCUUGCUCUUUCUCUGUGCUGACAGAGACACCUCAGUCCUCACUGGAAUGGCUGAAGCUGAAGGGUGCUGUGAGCUAUGAACCAUUACCUGGGACCUACAAACUGCCCUCUGCAGUGAGCAACAGCGGCUCCAACUCGACCAUCAGCUCUGGCAGAAAGAGCUGGGAGGGAAAGAGCUCCCCACGAGGCCUGCAGGCUGCACCAGCUUGGCUAAGGAAUGGAUCCAAAGUGCUCCCUCUGUCCUCUUAGGUCCUGCUGAUCUGGGCUCAUUCAGGCUUUUCCUUUUGUGACUGGAUUUGUGAUUUUUCAAUGGGUUGGCCUCUGAUGUUCAGCUCCUUGCUUUUCUUGUGUCUCAGGACAGAUACCAGCAGACUGGUACUACCUUCAGUCGGUGAUUUGAGACCAAAUGUUUGGACUUUUAGCCUGAUGUUUUGCCCUUUUAUUUCCCCUGUUCCUUCAAGAGUCCUUCGGCCCGGCCUCCACCCUGCAGCAAAUUCAUCCAAGGACUUCACAAAAUUGGGACAGCCAGGUUGGUGACACAGCUCCCACAGGUUGGGUUUAUUCACUGCUCUCUGGCCACAGCACAGCACUCGGUGUCAGUGCCUCUGGAGAAGCGUGGAGGGCAGGGCUCGGGGAGGCUGUGCCAGGGCAGGAUUUGACCUAAAGGCACCAGGAAGCACCAGCCCUGCAGACAGAACUCAACUCUUCUCAUCUCCCUUCCUGCCAGAGGCAGGCUCAGAGCAGCCGCCUCAGAGCUCUCUAAAGCAGUGUGGGCUCUCUCCUUACCAGGCUCCUCAGGCUCUGGGGAACUGUUCCUGCAGCUCUCGGUGCCAGGCAAAGCUCCCUCUGCUGCAGCCCUGUUCCCAGCCUCCCCUCCUGAAGACUCGGCAGCAACAUUAGCAUUCCCCUUGAAGGAAAACCAGAAAGAAAGAAACCCAAAGAUCACUCCGUAUUUUCUUGGAAUCCCAUCAGGGAUACAACAAAUCUUCUUCUCCACUCCCAACAGGAGGGGAACGCUGCCCAAACCAUUCAUGUGACAAUCGUUUGAAACUCAGGAUUCGUGUGACCAAGGUGCAACUGAAGCUCUUACAAAAUGACCUUGGAGGCAAACGGUGAACUCGGAAAACCAGGAGACACCAAGGGAGGGGACGUGCCCUCACACUCUGAGCCUGGCUUCUCCCACCAGCUGUAAGAAAUCAGCCAGCAGAAAGCCUGGGGCCCUCCUGCUUCCCAACACGGCCAUCGACAGGGGCAGAGCUCGCUGCCAGCACUGCCCAGGGCUGGGUGCUGCAAACCUGCACGCAAAGCACACAUUUCUGCCUGGCUCUCUCACCACCCCCCACCCAGCCGCUCAGACCAUCAACCACAAGGCGGUGCUUUUUGGAGCCCUCUGCUGCUGCCCCGUAUGGAUGAUCCGGGCAAACGUUUAUGGACCUAGGGUAUUUCCAGCAUCAAAUUUUCCAGUGCCAAAAGUCUGUAAAUCUGGAGGGUACCAAAGAAACCAACCCAAAAGACGUGAAAAGCCAGACAACCAAGUUGUGUUUCCUAAUUCCACUGAGGAAGGAAAUGCCCAAGAUUAAGCACCUGCAAGUUACCUUUAGACAGAAGGAUAUUCUCACUAUGACCACUUCCAGAAUAUUCAUCUCCUCUGCAACAGCCUGUCCACCAGAAUCCUAAAGAUUCUAAAGAUGGUUCAGAGCUUGCAAUAUUUCCUUUUAUUAGGGAAUAAAAUGCCUUUAAAAACUGCUGUGUGGGGGUUUACAGAAGACAUCACACUUGAGAACAACAUAUUGGUAAAUCCAAAAAGCCCCACUCCCCACCUUGAGUCUGCCCUUCCUCAACCAUAAACGUACUGCAGGCAGUGGGGCUGCACACGAAUAGAAAGAGAGACAUUCUCUGGCCAACAUGUAGAACAGCCUGCAAAAAGGCCUGUGCCAACACAGACACUCCAGGCAAGUCUGGGAAGAGGCAAGAGUUAAGAGAAAUGGGAUUCCUGAUCCCAAGACUGCAUCUGUCAAACAGAAGGAGCAGAAAGCUGCAGCUCCAGCCCAUCCCCAAGCACGGCUCUGGCAGCGCCUGCACGCUCGGCACGGCUCACACAGCAGCAGCAGCAGCAGCUGCAGCCCAGCCCUUGCUUUGCCUUGGCCUUCCCACCCAAAACAGGCAGAGCCCACGUCUGCUGCUCUAACAGAGGCACCUCUCGCAUGCCCCUCCCUGCAGGGGACACUUUGCCUUCAGUGGCAAUUCUCCCCACACUCUUCUCUUCUGUCCCACCAAACAAAGCCUCUUAGAACCUACAGAGCAUCACCACAAAUGCCCCUGCACCAGGGAUUCUUCCCAGCAAAAGGAGCACCCAAACGUGGCCACCACAGGAUCACACCUCUCAUCCUCACUAAGGGGGGAGACUUUGUCAUCCCUCUUCUUUUAGAAAUCUUGCUUGACCAACAAGAAUUCAAUCACUAAAUAAUCAUGAAAUCAACUAAAGAAGCCUUUGCAGCAAUGUUCAAAAGCUCUCAGCCCAGCCCCUUCAUUCCCAUCCAGUGGGGUUACCUGAGCAAAGGGAGACCUUUCAGCCACGGAUCUCCUGAUCUCCCGAAUCAUUGCCUCGACCUGAAGGCCCAGAUCCGCUGAAGGCAAUUCCUCUUGCCCAGGUGCAUUCCGUGUCUUGCUGGAGGUCGUCGAUGCUGCACAAGCAGCACUGCCAGGUGGAGCACUGGAGGCUGAACUGUCCGGUGUGGCUGCAGGAAUCCAAACACAUUGGUCAGGCUCCAGAAUGUGGCUUUGGGACACAGAGCUCGAUUGCUGCCUUGCAGCAAACAUCACAGGAAGCACACAGGAAAACCAGACAGAGAUUCUUCCGGCUUUCCAGAUCCCCCUUCCUAGCAGGUUUGACAAUUUCUGUCUGGGAAUGACAGAGCGUUGUGGGGAAAUACUUCAAACGGUCACUUUUCACGACCUUUUGGAACACUUUUCCUACCUGAUGGCUUGCAGGCUGGGGACUGCUGCUCCGUUUGGAGCUGCUCGAAGCUGCACGGCGGGAUCCUGAGCAGCUCCCGCCCGGCCGGAGGCGGCCGCUCCAUGUGGGGCUGCUGGAAAGCCCAGGGCGGCAGCCCGGCCGGCGGCGGCUGCAGCCCGUACAGCUUCUGGAGGCGGCUCAGCCCCUCCCGCCUGACCGGCAGCAGCGGCUCCCCGUAGAGCCCGAGGAGCUCGCAGGGCGGGAUCCUGGGCACCUCCCGCUCGGCAGGCAGCGGCCGCUCCCCGUACAGCUCCUGGAAGCGGCUGGGCCCGUCCCGCCGGGCCGGCUGCGGCCGGUCCCUGUGGAGGAGGUGGAAGCCACAGGGCGGGCGCCGGGCCAGGAGCGGCCGCUCUCUGGGGGGCUGCUGGAAGCGGCUCGGCCGCCGGCUGCGCAGCUCCCGCCCGUCCGGCAGCGUCCGCUCCCUGUGCAGGAGCAAGAAGCCGCUGGGCGGCCGCCCCGCCGGCAGCGGCGGCCGCUCCCGAGGCAGCGCCUGGAACCGCCCGCGCCCCUCCGGCCCCGC
rnacentral:lncRNA from 1 species